AGUCGAACGGGGUAGCAAUACCUAGUGGCGGACGGGUGAGUAACGCGUGGGAAUCCACCUUUAGGAUGGGGACAACAAGAGGAAACUCUUGCUAAUACCCAAUGAGCCGAAAGGUAAAAGUAAUUCGCCUAAAGAGGAGCUCGCGUCCGAUUAGUUAGUUGGUGGGGUAAAGGCCUACCAAGGCAGCGAUCGGUAGCUGGUCUGAGAGGAUGAGCAGCCACACUGGGACUGAGACACGGCCCAGACUCCUACGGGAGGCAGCAGUGGGGAAUUUUCCGCAAUGGGCGAAAGCCUGACGGAGCAAUACCGCGUGAGGGAGGAAGGCUCUUGGGUUGUAAACCUCUUUUCUUAGGGAAGAAACCUGACGGUACCUAAGGAAUCAGCAUCGGCUAACUCCGUGCCAGCAGCCGCGGUAAUACGGAGGAUGCAAGCGUUAUCCGGAAUUAUUGGGCGUAAAGCGUCCGUAGGUGGCAUUUCAAGUCUGCCGUUAAAGCCCGAAGCUUAACUUUGGAAAAGCGGUGGAAACUGAGAAGCUAGAGUGCGGUAGGGGUAGAGGGAAUUCCCAGUGUAGCGGUGAAAUGCGUAGAGAUUGGGAAGAACACCGGUGGCGAAAGCGCUCUACUGGGCCGCAACUGACACUGAUGGACGAAAGCUAGGGGAGCGA
rnacentral:rRNA from 1 species